rnacentral:rRNA from 1 species
CGGGNGAAAGAACUACAAGGGAUUCCCUGAGUAACGGCGAGUGAAACGGGAGAAGCCCAGCACCGAAUCCCUUUGUCGGAUGGCAUUUGGGACCUGUGGUGUUUGGGAGUGCUCUUAUGGUUUGUGGCAAGGUGUUCGAGUCCUCCUGAUCGGGGCUUGUCCCAGAGCGGGUGUAAGGCCUCUACAGCACCGAGCUGCGAAUCUUUGGGCGCUCUCUGGAGUCGGGUUGUUUGAGAAUGCAGCCCUAAGUGGGUGGUAAACUCCAUCUAAGGCUAAAUACCGCUGCGAGUCCGAUAGCAAACAAGUACCGUGAGGGAAAGUUGAAAAGCACUUUGAAGAGAGAGUUGGAUAGUACGUGAAACCGUUUACAGGUAAACGGACGGGACCGUAAGGUCAACCUCGGGGGUUCAGGUCUCCGCUUGCGGCUCGGCUUCUGCUGGUGAUGACGCUUCGCGCGUGCGCCGGUGGGAGCUGCGGCUACUUGUGGGGGCUGCAAGUCCUCGUGUGUUGAGCGUCACGACCGUCUGACUGGCAGUCAGAAGCACCUAGUCGUAGGUAGCCCGAACUGGCAACGGUUUGGGAACUUAUAGGUCUGGGAGCGCUGUGCUGCUGGGCGGGCGAGGAACUCGGGUCGCGCCGUGGCGACGGGAUAGCCGCUGGCUACAGAUCGACUGUCGGGGACUGCUUGCAGUGCUCGGCGAUCUGCUGUGGCCGGGUCAGGUGUCUUGUUGUGCGGCGCCAAUGGGUCAGUGGCGUCUUCCAUCGGCACCCCGUCCGACCCGUCUUGAAACACGGACCAAGGAGUCUAACAUGUGCGCAAGUCAAAGGGCUAGUCGAAACCCCAAGGCGUAAUGAAAGUAAGGUUUACUAAGGUGCGAUACGGUUUGCUCUAUGAGCGCCGUCGCAGCACCGGCCCGUCGCUAGAGCCCUGCGUNCGGCGGCGAGCU